AGCGAACGCUGGCGGCGUGCCUAACACAUGCAAGUCGAACGUGAAAAGGGAAACCUGCGUAAAGUGGCGUACGGGUGAGUAACGCGUAGGUAAUCUACCCCAGAAUCUGGAAUAACCUGCCGAAAGGCGGGCUAAUACUGGAUAGAGCGAGGGAACUCGUAAGAGAGUUUUUCGGGAAAGGGAGCCCGCAAGGGCCUUCGUUCUGGGAUGAGCCUGCGUCUCAUUAGCUAGUUGGUAAGGUAACGGCUUACCAAGGCGAUGAUGAGUAGCUGGUCUGAGAGGAUGAUCAGCCACACUGGAACUGAAACACGGUCCAGACUCCUACGGGAGGCAGCAGUGGGGAAUCUUGCGCAAUGGACGAAAGUCUGACGCAGCCACGCCGCGUGAGUGAAGAAGGCCUUCGGGUUGUAAAGCUCUGUCGGAUGGGACGAACAUCUUCAUAGUGAAUAGCUAUGAGGACUGACGGUACCAUCAAAGGAAGCACCGGCUAACUCCGUG
rnacentral:rRNA from 1 species